UAGCUAAAGCGACGCAGGGAUUACCGUGAUCAACAAGGCGGUGUUCCCCGGAGUGAGGCUCCUUUCGCGGGCUGACCUCACCAUUUUGAGAUAUUUCCUAAGGCGGAAAAACUCAAGCGUUCAAAUUUUUGGUAGCCGGGACUGCGUGAGCUAUUCCGGA